rnacentral:rRNA from 1 species
UACGUAGGGGCCGAGCGUUGUCCGGAGUUAUUGGGCGUAAAGCGCGCGCAGGCGGCUUGGCGCGCCCGACGUGAAAGCCCCCGGCUUAACCGGGGAGAGUCGUCGGGGACGGCCGGGCUUGAGGGCGGGAGAGGGUGGUGGAAUUCCCGGUGUAGUGGUGAAAUGCGUAGAGAUCGGGAGGAACACCUGUGGCGAAGGCGGCCACCUGGGCCGACCCUGACGCUGAGGCGCGAAGGCGUGGGGAGCGAACAGG